rnacentral:tmRNA from 1 species
GGGGCUGACUUGGAUUUCGACAGAUUUCUUGUCGCACAGAUAGCAUGCCAAGCGCUACUUGUAAAACAGCAACAAAAAUAACUGUAAACAACGCAGAUUACGCUCCAGCUUACGCUAAAGUUGCGUGAGUUAAUCUCCUUUUGGAGUUGGACUGAUUAGAAUUUCUAGCGUUUUAAUCACUCCAUAACCUUAAGCUAGACGCUUUUAAAAGGUGGUUCGCCUUUUAAACUAAGAUUAAUGAACUCUUGAAACUACCUCAAGGUUUUAGAAAGUUGGACCAGAGCUAGUUUUAAGGCUAAAAAACUAACCAAUUUUCUAAGCAUUGUAGAAGUUUGUGUUUAGGACAAGAUUUUUGGACUGGGGUUCGAUUCCCCACAGCUCCACCA